GCGGUGGUAGUCUAGCCUGGUCUAGGACACCGGCCUCCCAAGCCGGUGACCCGGGUUCAAAUCCCGCCACCGCACCA
rnacentral:tRNA from 1 species